rnacentral:lncRNA from 1 species
AGUGGGAGGAAGAAAGGCAUGAAAUGAAGAAUCGACAUGAUUGUGGUGCCUGGAGCCAGAGAGUUAGCUGCUGGUUCCAGCUCUGGUAUUAACUGAGGGUGUGAUCUGAGAGGAGAAAGCUGAAGCACCAGAUGGUUAAAAGGACUGUUCAAGACAGCCUUGCAAUUUUGACCAAGGAAGAAAGCUGAAGAGUGCUAGGGCAAGAGAGGAACUACGUCCAGAACAAUUCAUAAUUCCAAAUUCUCACUUCCAUGAUUUCAAUGCUGAAUGUGUACUUCUCUAGCUAAAAAUACAAUUGCUUAAGUAAAAUCAUCAUUAUUUACAGU